UUUCACACUGUUCCGUUACCAGAGGUACCGCCAUCGUUCCACUGUAAUCCCUCCUAAGCGUAUUUGCACAAGGUAUUGCGGAAAGAGUUUAGCUGUUAGUUCAGUGAGUGAUAUAUGUAGGAAAGGAUCACAAGGAUCAUUGGAGGAUCUCAGGACAUUUGUUAAAGUAUAACUGCACAAAGUCAUGCCAGCACAUGUCCUUGGAAAACAGCUAAAAACAAAAGACAAAAGCCAAAAAGAAAAAAAGGACUGUGGUAGUUUGGGAUUUUUCCUUCUAUGACUGCAGUGAAAAGCACAUCUAUUUUAUGUAAUGAGCUUACAUCAUACCAUCAUGAAUCAUAACUCUGUAGCAGAUGGCAGCGUGUGUGCAACAGUCUGCUGUCCUGCAGGCCGCUGAGACCCACACCAUUAAGGACAGAGAGUGUGGUCGCUUCGCUUCACCAGCGUCACUGACAACAUGUCAGCCAGUUCCACUCAACCUGCAGUGUUCUGCACCAUGCCAUUCAGCUGCCGCACUGUGCUUCUCCUUCACGAAGCUGUGGUCUGCCUCUGAGCAUUCUGAGAUUUGUGUGUUUCAGUGUAUGAGAUUGAAUUUAAGGUUAGGUUUAUUUAUAAAUCCCACCUUUUACUACUAAAGGUAACACAAGGUACUUUUAUUAAAUGUCAAAUUGAAGAACAACUGAUACAAAAAGACGCUGAGAACGAUCUGAGUAAAAAAAAAUUUCCUUCAAAAUUCUACACAAAAUACC